rnacentral:tRNA from 1 species
ACCAGGCUAGUUCAGUUGGUAGAAUAUGUGACUCUUGAUCUCAGUGUUGUGAGUUCAAGCCUCAUGUUGGACA